UGCUGGGUGGUGUAGUGGUAACGUCCCCUCCACGGUACCGUUUCGACGGGUCGUUCUGUAGCUUGCUAUGAAGGGUUGAAGGAGGGUGCCACAGGCUCGAAUCCUGUCCCGGCAA
rnacentral:tRNA from 1 species